AAGAGUGAAUAGACAACUGUAGAGUUCAUUCAGUUUCUUCGUGCCACAAGUAGCUGCAAAUCAAACCAAGCGAUCAUUCAUUUGCUUAGGCUGAGAACGUUUGAACAAUAGAUGUCAGAGAGGCCAUUGAGGUUUUAAGGAAUUGCCUAGAUGACGAGAAGAAGGAAAUGGAUGACGAAGACAGAAAACAAAAAGCCUGCACCUGUAAAAGAAGAACAUUCCAGUCACUGGGUAAUUAUCGAAAAGUCAUUGAGUAUCUUGAAAACGAUUUGAAAAUUGCACAAGAAAUCGGUGACCGGUGCGGAGAAGGAAAGAGCUUUGGAAAUCUCGGUAUUGCUCACCACUCAUUGGGUGAGGAUCGAAAAGCCAUAGAUUAUCUUGAAAAAGAUUUGAAAAUCAAAAUAGAAAUCGGUGAUAGGAGGGGAGAAGGAGUAGCCUAUGAUAACCUUGGU